UAGCAGUAGAAGAAUCAAAAAAAUCAUUAACAAGCAUUGGCACAUUUUAAAAGAAGACAAUGAUUUAAUAGAACUCAUUCCUGAUAGGCCGAGUAUAGUUUUUAGAGGCGAAUUUUAAAACUAUCCUCACCAAAAACUACCCCAAACUCCACACAAACAAAAAUUGCACCUUUUUAUCUAAUUCCAAAGGUUUUUUUAAAUGUAAUACCUGCAUAGUGUGCAAAUCCACAGAUAACAAUAUAAAGACAAAAACCACCCAUUUUACAUCCCACAACACAAAAAAAUCCUAUCCUAUAAAAGAUAUUGUAAGCUGCAACACU